UAAGAUAUCGGAUAAUUUGAAUAUCGGCUCGUGGUUUCAAAAAAAUAUCAGAUCGGUUAUCGAUUUUAUAUCGGUAGCAAAUAAUCGGAUAUCGGAAAGACUUUUAUCCCCCAUUAAUAAUAAUAUAAAAAGGUUUCGUAUGCUGCGUAUAAAUCAUGUCCUGCGACCGCACCGAGACGUGGUUCCGCCGUCCAGGGGAACGUCAUCUAAAUUAGAUCGCGCGGACACUUCGUUAGCGAAUUCGGGAAAUUAAUGAG